UACAUUGCCGAGCGGUCAAAGGCGACGGUCUGUAAAAUCGUUUGGAUUCCAUUCGCAAGUUCGAAUCUUGCUGUUCCC
rnacentral:tRNA from 1 species